rnacentral:rRNA from 1 species
CCUACGGGAGGCUGCAGUGGGGAAUAUUGGACAAUGGGGGGAACCCUGAUCCAGCCAUGCCGCGUGUGUGAAGAAGGCCCUCGGGUUGUAAAGCACUUUCAGUGAGGAAGAACGCCUGGUGGUUAAUACCCAUCAGGAAAGACAUCACUCACAGAAGAAGCACCGGCUAACUCCGUGCCAGCAGCCGCGGUAAUACGGAGGGUGCGAGCGUUAAUCGGAAUUACUGGGCGUAAAGCGCGCGUAGGUGGCUUGAUAAGCCGGUUGUGAAAGCCCCGGGCUCAACCUGGGAACGGCAUCCGGAACUGUCGAGCUAGAGUGCAGGAGAGGAAGGUAGAAUUCCCGGUGUAGCGGUGAAAUGCGUAGAGAUCGGGAGGAAUACCAGUGGCGAAGGCGGCCUUCUGGACUGACACUGACACUGAGGUGCGAAAGCGUGGGUAGCAAACAGGAUUAGAUACCCUUGUAGUC